rnacentral:rRNA from 1 species
GAGUUUGAUCCUGGCUCAGGAUGAACGCUGGCGGCGUGCUUAACACAUGCAAGUCGAAUGUAGUUUACUACAUGGCGGACGGGUGAGUAACGCGUGAGCAAUCUGCCCAUAUCAGGGGGAUAACAGUUGGAAACGACUGAUAAUACCGCAUAAUAUUGUUGGAAGGCAUCUUCCGACAAUCAAAGAUUUAUCGGAUAUGGAUGAGCUCGCGUCUGAUUAGCUUGUUGGUGAGGUAACGGCUCACCAAGGCGACGAUCAGUAGCCGACCUGAGAGGGUGAUCGGCCACAUUGGGACUGAGACACGGCCCAAACUCCUACGGGAGGCAGCAGUGGGGAAUAUUGGUCAAUGGAGGAAACUCUGGACCAGCAACGCCGCGUGAAUGAUGAAGGUCUUCGGAUUGUAAAGUUCUUUUCUAAGGGAAGAAGAUAGUGACGGUACCUUAGGAAUAAGCCUCGGCUAACUACGUGCCAGCAGCCGCGGUAAUACGUAGGAGGCAAGCGUUAUCCGGAAUGACUGGGCGUAAAGGGUGCGUAGGUGGUUUGGCAAGUUAGUAGCGUAACCCCGGGGCUCAACCUCGGAACUACUACUAAAACUGUCGGACUUGAGUGCAGGAGGGGCAAUUGGAAUUCCUAGUGUAGCGGUGGAAUGCGUAGAUAUUAGGAGGAACACCAGUGGCGAAGGCGAAUUGCUGGACUGUAACUGACACUG